AGAGUUGAUAUGGCUCAGGAUGAACGCUAGCGACAGGCUUAACACAUGCAAGUCGAGGGGCAGCACGGGAGUAGCAAUACAACUGGUGGCGACCGGCGCACGGGUGAGUAACGCGUAUGCAACCUACCUAUCAGAGGGGAAUAACCCGGCGAAAGUCGGACUAAUACCGCAUAAAACAGGGGCACCGCAUGGUGAUAUUUGUUAAAGAAAUUCGCUGAUAGAUGGGCAUGCGUUCCAUUAGGUAGUUGGUGAGGUAACGGCUCACCAAGCCGACGAUGGAUAGGGGAACUGAGAGGUUGGUCCCCCACACUGGUACUGAGACACGGACCAGACUCCUACGGGAGGCAGCAGUGAGGAAUAUUGGUCAAUGGGCGAGAGCCUGAACCAGCCAAGUCGCGUGAAGGAAGAAGGAUCUAUGGUUCGUAAACUUCUUUUGCAGGGGAAUAAAGUGCGGGACGUGUCCUGUUUUGUAUGUACCCUGAGAAUAAGGAUCGGCUAACUCCGUGCCAGCCGCAGC
rnacentral:rRNA from 1 species